AUGCCCGGGGUCCUCCGCUUCGACCCACGCCGCGGCGAGACCACCCGCCCCAUGCUCCGCCUCGCGCUGCUCCUCGCCCUCAAUGCCGCCUACUCCGCCAUGGAGCUUGUCGUGGGCCUCCUCACGGGGCGCGUCGGCCUCGUCUUCGACGCCUUCCACCUCACCUUCGGCUGCGGCCUGCUCUCCUUCUCCCUCUUCGCCAUGGCCACCUCCCGGACCAAGCCCGACUCCACAUACACCUAUGGGUACAAGAGAUUGGAGGUCCUCACUGCCUUCACCAAUGCCGUAAUUCUGUCAAUUAAUCGUUUGGAAAGCCUACAUGCCCUCUUAGUUAACCAAAGACUGCUGCAUUGUUGCUUAUAUUUGAUACUACAUAAUGUGACUGGAGUUUAUUGUGAUUUGCUAUGGCAUUGUCAAUUUAACUUCCAUUUUUGGUGUUGA
rnacentral:rRNA from 1 species